GGAGAGGUGUCCGAGUGGUUGAAGGUGCCGCUCUCGAAAAGCGGUAGGGUGAAUAGCCCUCGUGGGUUCGAAUCCCACCCUCUCCGCCU
rnacentral:tRNA from 2 species